rnacentral:lncRNA from 1 species
UCUCUGGUCAGGCUCACUCUUCUAAACCCGUCUGAAAGAACAAUCUAGGGGCAUGAAAGCAUGCAGGUGGGCCUGGUCAAGGCAUUUGCCUUGAGUCUAUUAUUUUCCAUUUGAUCCCCAACAGCCCAGUGUCCCAAUCUAAACUCAAACCUGCUGCCUUCCUGAGUUGUUCUGACCUUGUGGCUCACAGGCAUGUCCCUAUGUCCCUAUGAGAGAUGUCACUGACAGCUGGGUCUAUGUAUACUGCACUUAGCUCCAGGCAGCAUGGCAUACUGCCUCUUGCAAAUAUUACUGUCAGUCCACGGCACAUCCAUCUUUCAGCUUCCUAGGACAGUUGUGGGAGAGGGGGUGUCUACCCAAGGCACAACUCUGAGUUGUCCCAAGCACCCACUAACACCCCAUGCACGGUUUCCCUAUCUAAUGGCAUUUUAACCAGGUCCCAGCCUGAGCAUGGUUGGUGUCGGAAGCAGAGGGGAUGAGAUCAGAGGCAGCCACAGAGUUUACAUUUUUUUUUUAAUUUAACAAGCAUAUAUAUUUGUAUGGGUGCACAUGUGGAGAUCAGAGACAACGUUCAUAAGUCAGUUCUUGCUUUAUACUGUCUGGGUCCCAGGGACUGAGGGAGUCUCCACAGUGGCCCAUCAGUCUUUGCUUUAUACUGUCUGGGUCCCAGGCUGAGGGAGUCUCCACAGUGGCCCAUCAGUCUUUGCUUUAUACUGUCUGGGUCCCAGGGACUGAGGGAGUCUCCACAGUGGCCCAUCAGUCUUUGCUUUAUACUGUCUGGGUCCCAGGGACUGAGGGAGUCUCCACAGUGGCCCAUCAGUCUUUGCUUUAUACUGUCUGGGUCCCAGGGACUGAGGGAGUCUCCACAGUGGCCCAUCAGUCUUUGCUUUAUACUGUCUGGGUCCCAGGCUGAGGGAGUCUCCACAGUGGCCCACCAGUCUGAUUUUGGUGGUUUCUGAGGUUCCAACUCAAGGAACUAUGGAACUUUAACAUACUGUAGUCUCUGUUACAUACUGCAUUGUUAUAGUUAUUGUUAUACUCUAUAAAUAUAUAGAGACAAUAUGUUUUCACCUUGAGAUUCCCAGAAUGUUACAGGUUCGAAUUUAGUAAAGAAGGCCACACUUGAAGGUCAUAAACAUAUACAUAUAAGCCUGAUUAACAUUAUUUGGAAUAUGGCUAUAUAAAAGGAUUAUUUUCUCUAUGUAGGCAGUCUUAAAGCAAAUUUUGUCAACUAUCCUAGAAUUGAGAACUCUCAACUGGUGAGAAACUUCAACCAUGGUGGACUUAGGGUCCUUUACCCUGCUGCCCACCCAUGUCUCCCUUACCUUCCAUUGCUUUCUUGCUUCAAACAGUAUGUUACAUAACAAGGUCGAGCUCAUGGCCACAGUCGGCAGUAGAGGCCACCUAACAUCCAAAGGCUACCUAGCCACAUGAGCCCAGGAAAUCUGCAGUGGGCAGGAGUGGGACUGAACUCACAAAGCAGAGGGAGUGUGGAACUGGCUCAAUUGGGAAAAAACAAAAAC